UCAGUCAAAGGGCAAACCUAUUGAAAAAUAGGGACGCAAAGUCACAGGUCUAACGUUCUUACUAUGAUGGCUGGACUGCCUGA
rnacentral:ncRNA from 1 species